rnacentral:misc_RNA from 1 species
UCUCCGUUGGUGAACCAGCGGAGGGAUCAUUAUCGAGUUUAUAACUCCCAAACCCUAUGUGAACUUACCACUUGUUGCUUCGGCGCGCGCUUCGGCGCCGCCGAGGACACUUAAACUCUUUGUCUUUAUAAGCAUUUCUGAGUGGCCGAAAGGCAAAAUACAAAUGAAUCAAAACUUUCAACAACGGAUCUCUUGGUUCUG